rnacentral:misc_RNA from 1 species
AUUUUACAAAGGAUCAUCGGCCAAUUUCUAUCGAUUGAUACAUAAUCGUGCGAAAAUCUACGAUUUCCUUUUUCCAACAAUAUACAAAUUCUCUGCUUCAAAACCUGUAGUUUUUUUUUUUUGGAAGAUUUUUUUAAAAUGGCUAUGGCUGGAUUGUACCGUCGAUGCCUUCCUUCUCCUCCGGCUAUCGAUUUCGCUUCCUCUGAAGGAAAGCAACUUUUUGUUGAAGCCAUUCAAAAUGGAACAAUGGAAGGUUUCUAUAGGUUGAUUUCUUAUUUUCAGACGCAAUCAGAGCCUGCUUAUUGUGGUUUGGCUAGCCUUUCUGUGGUCUUGAAUUCCCUUGCCAUUGAUCCUGGAAGAAAAUGGAAAGGACCUUGGAGGUGGUUUGAUGAAUCCAUGUUAGAUUGCUGUGAACCGUUGGAGAAGGUUAAAGCUAAGGGCAUCUCAUUUGGGAAGCUUGUAUGUUUGGGUCAUUGUGCUGGGGCAAAAGUUGAAGCAUACCGUACAAAUCAGAGCAACAUUGAUGAAUUUCGUAAGCAUGUAAUUAGAUGUUCCACUUCUGAUGAUUGCCAUAUGAUAUCGUCAUAUCAUAGAGGAGCUUUUAAACAGACAGGAACUGGUCAUUUUUCACCUAUUGGUGGUUAUCAUGCUGGAAGGGACAUGGCAUUGAUUUUGGACGUUGCACGUUUUAAGUAUCCUCCACAUUGGGUUCCACUAAACCUUUUGUGGGAAGCUAUGAAUUGUAUUGAUGAGACAACUGGGCAACGCAGAGGGUUCAUGCUCAUUUCGAGGCCUCAUACAGAGCCUGGACUGCUUUAUACCUUGAGCUGUAAACAUGAGAGUUGGGCUGGUAUUGCAAAGUAUUUAGUGGAUGAUGUUCCUAUUCUCUUAAAAACAGAAGAUGUGAAAGACAUUAAUAAAUUGCUCUAUGUUGUUUUCUCGUCACUUCCAUCAAAUUUUGGAGAAUUUAUUAAGUGGGUUGCUGAAGUGCGGAGACAUGAGGAUGGCGGAGCAAGUCUAAGCCAAGAGGAGAAAGGAAGGCUUGCUGUUAAGGAGGAGGUUUUAAAACAAGUGCAGGAAACUGGACUUUUUAAACGUGUAGCAUCAUUUUUAUCUUCAGCAAACACAUGUUGCAAAAGUUUGCCAAUUCUAAGUCCAGAAGAUGAUCUUCCUCAUAUUGCUGCAAGUAUUUGUUGCCAAGGGGCAGAGAUUUUGGCAGGGAAGUUCAGUUCUUCAGGAGGUUAUUGUUGUAGGGAA